rnacentral:rRNA from 1 species
UCGUACGGUAGAGAUUCUCUCGGGGAUCUUGAGAGUGGCGCACGGGUGCAUAACGCGUAUGCAACCUGCCCUGUACUGGGGGAUAGCCCGGGGAAACCCGGAUUAAUACCCCAUGGUAUUGUUGGACGGCAUCGUCCGGCGAUUAAAGAUUUAUCGGUACGGGAUGGGCAUGCGUAGGAUUAGCUAGUUGGCGGGGUAACGGCCCACCAAGGCUUCGAUCCUUAGGGGUUCUGAGAGGAAGGUCCCCCACACUGGCACUGAGAUACGGGCCAGACUCCUACGGGAGGCAGCAGUAGGGAAUAUUGGGCAAUGGUCGGAAGACUGACCCAGCCAUGCCGCGUGCAGGAAGAAGGCCUUAUGGGUUGUAAACUGCUUUUAUCUGGGAAGAAAAAGUCCCUGCGGGGAAAAUUGCCGGUACCAGAUGAAUAAGCACCGGCUAACUCCGUGCCAGCAGCCGCGGUAAUACGGAGGGUGCGAGCGUUGUCCGGAUUUAUUGGGUUUAAAGGGUGCGUAGGCGGCCUUAUAAGUCAGCGGUGAAAUACCCAGGCUCAACCUGGGGGGUGCCGUUGAUACUGUAUGGCUUGAGUGCGUUCCGUGUACAUGGAAUUUAUGGUGUAGCGGUGAAAUGCAUAGAUACCAUAAGGAACACCGAUAGCGAAGGCAUUGUGCAGGGGCGUAACUGGCGCUGAGGCACGAAAGCACGGGUAGCGAACAGGAUUAGAUACCCUGGUAGUCCGUGCCGUAAACGAUGAUCACUCGCUGUUGACCCUAUAUGGGUCAGUGG